UCUCCCGUAACGGCCCCUAAGUCAAAGAUCAACGGCCACCAGACAUUUUAACAUAAAACCAAGUUUUAAUAAGUGAUUUCUGCAAAGGUCUCAUCCCUCCAAAGAAGAAGACAGUCUUUCAGAAGAAAGUGGCUGGCCGGAAGGGCGCUGCAUUUGCCCAGACCUCCCAGACAUCUCGCCAACAAAACAAAACAAAACAAAACAAAACAAAACAACGACAACAAAAAACGCUUCCUUCUGGGUUGGUUUCUCUGUCGCUGCAAAUACCACACACGGAGAGCUGGCGCUCGGCUUCUGGAGAGCAACCCUGUGUAACAAAACUACUUACGGGAUCCAGGCGGGGGCAAGGCUUGGGCGAUGAGCUUGACGGUCUGACUCUUGCUUUCACUGACCAUCUGUCCCCCUCGGUGAGCCGUCCUUUCUGCCGACUUCACAGAGGAGCCAAGCGACCAACAGCAAAUUGCUCAUUUUCCAAACAAAAAUGCAGACAGUAAGAGAGCCUGUGUAAGCGGGGGUUACAAAUUGCUGUCAGGCCUGGGUGGGAAGUUGGGAGUCAGGAGCGAAGACUCAGGUUCUCUGCUGCUGGAAGGAAGGGAGGCGAUCUGUAAUUGAUGCUGGAAGGACAGCAGAGGAAUUCCUGGUAUGAGAAUUGCCAGCCCCUCUCUGCAUCUGCCGACACCAUGUGGCUGGCCCCUUAGUGGCCUGGGAGAUUACAGAAGGGGCUGGAAAGCUUGCUGUCUUUGUGAAGGGUAAACAUCUUCCUUCUGCCACCAAAGUGGUAGCAAUUGUGGCUCCGGGAUGGGAGGUUUCAAAACAAAAGUAGGCCAGUGCUGUUGGCCUUGCAUGGCCUCCAAGAAGAUACCGUCAGCUCUCAUCAGACACCAAUUUUCUAGUUUGUGGAUUACCCAGACUUUCAUUCUUCCCUUCUUCUUUGGCAGAAUCAAUCAAACAGAAUUAGAACCGGACAAUUUUUCUAUUUGUAAACACUUUAUAGAGAAGGUUUGGUUGUGGUAAUGAUUCAGGCCACUUACCAAAAUUGAGUUUUCAGAGUGUGGGUGCCUGUGAGUAGCUUUGCCCUUUUGAAGGGAAGUCUGAGGGGGAUGGAAAGCCUUGACCAACCAGGUCCCAGGUCUCCCCACUCCUUUCAGCUUUAGUCACGGUGAGGCCAGGAGGAGGAUUAGGCCUGUUCCUAUUUUAGCAUUUUUGGUCCCGAGGGGGAUCGUGGGUCCUCUCUCAAAGCUCUGGGCAGCAUGAUGGACUGGUGGGAUGCUCUUGGUGAAAUAACCUUUAGAGUUAAGAGGUAGGUUGAGGAUUAGGACCCCCCAGGGUAUAUGACCAUCUGAAUGUGUUGACUCCAUUUUUUAUACAAGGGAUUGACGAGGCUGCCAGGCUGUUUCUCAGGAGAAAUGCCCCCACAGACUAUGUGUCAUCCUGGAGCCCCAUACCCUAUUGACAUGGUGAAGUGAAUUCAGAAGGGGACUGUGGGCUUCAGUGGGCUCCGUGCUCUAAUCUCUCCCUCCCACGCUUCAGCUCCAUGGGCCACGGCAGCGCUGGGCCAGGAGAGUUUGGAGGGAAAUAAACCUGCAUUUGAAUUCUA